ACCACCAAACUCAUCUCCAUAAACCAACACUCCUCCUAACACGUUCAUGGCCAAAAGGGCAGUCUUGAAAAUCCUUCCUGUUGGUGAUGAUGUUAAGAAAACCAUUCCUGCUGUGCCCAUCAAGCAUAGCUGCCAUGUAACCACGUUAGCCUAUGACCCAGUAAACCUCGGCUCCUUUAUCAAGUUCGACUUGGCCUUCUCUCUUCAUCCAUGAAAAUCAACCGUCCGAUGCUAUCCCCAUAGAAGCUAUAGACUUGGCUGUAAUCUGCAUCACCAGCUGCAUUUCCAUUAUCAUCUCAUACCACUAACUUCGUUCGUUCCUAUCUUUUAACACCAACUCAAACCACCUGUUACUAAGAGCUCAUUGACUUCAGCCCAAGGAGCUCUUUCCUGGAAGGAAAAGGUAUCAGGACUCUACUGACCGGAACGGAAUCGAAAAUGCACUUCUUUGGAAAUUGACUUUUAAUCAGGUAAUCGCACCUGCCCUUAGAUAAAUCUUUUGAAAGCAUCUCUCUCACGCACAUCUUCCUCAGACCUGAGAAAGCACACAUCAAAGACUUUGUGCGUUUGAGAACUUCUAGGGCCAAGUUCGUUAAAGAACAAGAAUCUUGGUCGUGAAGGGGAAUUUAGUGCUGAAACAAGCUUCUUUCAAUGGCAGAAUAAGCACCCUGAAUUUUAGUCUGGAAGGCUGGCAAAAUUUAGUAGGAAGCCAUUUUUUUUAAUAAGCUUGUCGAUAAAACAAUGCUAAAGCCACUGUAUUAACAUGGGCUGCACUAACUGGUUUACUGCUCUGUCUAUUCUUACUGUGACUCCACACAACCAAUGAACUUCCUGGUUAUUGCUUCCCUUCUCCGCAACUUUUUUCAUGCUUAGAUGCUUUGCUUCCCAUCACUUAUAAUAUUUGGGAGGUUCAGGGAUGGAGAAAAGGAAAACAGCUGAAUAGAAGGCCCGUCAUGAGUAAACAUAGAAGAAUGAUUUAAUUUGCCAGAGCCAGAUGAAAUUGUUCCAAGAUACCGUGCAGACAAAGAGAUAAGAAUAGAAUUGGAGUUUAUAUCAGACAUUCUUAGCUCAAUUCUGAUGAGAGGCAGCUAGGGUCAAGCCAACCAGAUAGUAGGCAAGUUGAUCUGGUCUCAUGUAACCUUGCAUUUCAAAAGACCUUUUUUGCACCUGAGGGUUAUAACCCAAGUUUGUAGUCCUCUGUUGGAGCUACUUUCAGAGUUCAUGGAUCUCAUUGUUGAAAAACCUCACCAGACUCCCUUGCUGGCGAUCUGGUUGGAGGAAAACUUCUUUUCUUCCUCUGAUACCAGAACCUCAGCUCAUUUGUUGGUCUCAGAUGCAUUGGUUUAUUGCGUCCGGACUGCUUCUGAAGAUCAUUCUAUCAAGAUCACGGCAUUUAUGGUCUGUUGCUGUCCAUCAAUGCUAUGGUUUAUGGCAAAAGCUUUUAAAUGUUAUGCCGAAAUUAGGCAUACCAGAGUUUGCUUAUAACACUGUUGAUCACUGUUAGAUGUUUGGUCACUUUCAAACUGACAAGAAUUAUUUAUUAUUGUGGUAGAUAAUCCGACAAAAACUAUGGGAUGGCCUAGUUGCCAGCGUUUCAGACUACGCGUAUAGCCUUUGAUGUGUGCUUUACAGGUCCGAGGAAGAUGAUGCGCGAGACAGAUGCUUUCAAAAGAUUUAUACAGGGUGGGGGUGUGGUCGUUUGGAAAAGCCAGCUAAUUCAUGUAAAAUUUAUAUUAUUUUAAUAUAUUUUAAAAUAAAAAACACUUUUAACUGCA